AGUUUGAUACUAUCCUUGACAUGGAAAAAGAUGAGUUUGCUCCUGAGAUACAAGAGGAAGAAGAAGGCGAGAUAGAGUAUGUUGAAGGUGAUGAUAUCGAGAUGGGUGACAUGGAUGAUACGGAAGAUUUUGAAGGCUUUGGUGAUGAAGAUGGUGGAAGAAGACGAGGACAGGGGUAGCAGGCAAAGGACGCGAAUGUGAUUCUCCAGGCACGGCUUUAGUAACAAGCUUGGUGUCGAUGA